CCUACGGGGGGCUGCAGUAGGGAAUAUUGCGCAAUGGACGGAAGUCUGACGCAGCGACGCCGCGUGAGCGAUGAAGGUCUUCGGAUCGUAAAGCUCUGUCCUUGGCGUAGAAGGCGAGUAGGCGGCCCUUUAAGUCGGAUGUGAAAGCCCGCGGCUUAACCGCGGAAUGGCAUUCGAAACUGGAGGGCUUGAGUGUCGGAGAGGGUAGUGGAAUUCCCAGUGUAGCGGUGAAAUGCGUAGAUAUUGGGAGGAACACCAGUGGCGAAGGCGACUACCUGGACGAUAACUGACGCUGAGGCACGAAAGCUAGGGGAGCAAACAGGCUUAGAUACCCGAGUAGUC
rnacentral:rRNA from 1 species